GCUGAAGACUUUACUGACUGUGAUAUCACAGAAAAUGCACUGGCUGUAUGUCUAGUUCAUCUUACCAACUCUGGAAUCAAUCUGAAAGCUUGUGGUAAAGAUGACAAGGGAGACUCCACAGUGGUUCUGCAAGGAGUUUAUGAUUCUCAAGAAGUCUUUUAAAUAGCAGGGCUUCCUCCACUCUGUAUGGGUUCAGUAACAUGACAUCGGCUCUGGACGUGACCAGCCACGAAUCAGGAAACUUGAGACUGUGGAUCAGAGACCCUCCUGUGUGCUUAGGAUAAACUCCAAACAGAGCACAGAAAUCGGCCCCUGAAAAGCAGUCAAAAGCAAAUGAGAAAGGACUGUACUUGCAUCCAUGAAGCCCGACCCAGCAUAAGCAGGUGGGAGCUGCAGGAAUCAGCUAGGAGAUGGAAGGCACUUAUUACUCUGUAUCAUCAGAACACAGAUCCUUGCUUCCAGAACAACUUAAAAUCGAGAGAAAAUCCCAUGUGUGAGAGCUCUCGGGAAAACAUUAAAACGCUAAUGAACUGAA
ensembl:antisense Gm28777 predicted gene 28777